rnacentral:rRNA from 1 species
UUCCGGUUGAUCCUGCGGACCUCACUGCUAUCGGGGUGGGACUAAGACAUGCAAGUCGUACGCCUCCCAGCCGCCGGGGGAGGCGUGGCGCACGGCUCCGUAACACGUGGCUAACCUACCCUUGGGACGGGGAUAACCCCGGGAAACUGGGGCUAAUCCCCGAUAGGCGAGGAUGCCUGGAAUGGUUCCUCGCCGAAAGGGCACCGGAACCGUGCUUCCGGUGUCGCCCAAGGAUGGGGCCGCGGCCGAUCAGGUUGUUGGUGGGGUAACGGCCCACCAAGCCGAUAACCGGUACGGGCCGUGAGAGCGGGAGCCCGGAGAUGGGCACUGAGAUAAGGGCCCAGGCCCUACGGGGCGCAGCAGUCGCGAAACCUCCGCAAUGCGCGAAAGCGCGACGGGGCCACCCCGAGUGCCGCCCGCUGAGGGCGGCUUUUCCCCGGUGUAGAUAGCCGGGGGAAUAAGGGGAGGGCAAGUCUGGUGUCAGCCGCCGCGGUAAUACCAGCUCCCCGAGUGGUGGGGACGAUUAUUGGGCCUAAAGCGUCCGUAGCCGGCCCGGCAAGUCUCCCGUUAAAUCUAGCGAUCUAAUCGCUGGACUGCGGGAGAUACUGUCGGGCUAGGGGGCGGGAGAGGCCGGCGGUAUUCCCGGGGUAGGGGUGAAAUCCUAUAAUCCCGGGAGGACCACCAGUGGCGAAGGCUGCCGGCUGGAACGCGCCCGACGGUGAGGGACGAAAGCCGGGGGAGCGAACCGGAUUAGAUACCCGGGUAGUCCCGGCUGUAAACGAUGCGGGCUAGGUGUUGGCACGGCUACGAGCCGUGCCAGUGCCGCAGGGAAGCCGUUAAGCCCGCCGCCUGGGGAGUACGGCCGCAAGGCUGAAACUUAAAGGAAUUGGCGGGGGAGCACCACAAGGGGUGAAACCUUGCAGUUUUAAUUGGGAUCAACCGCCCGGAAAU